rnacentral:rRNA from 1 species
UACGUAGGGGGCUAGCGUUGUCCGGAAUCAUUGGGCGUAAAGAGCGUGUAGGCGGUCCGGUAAGUCCGCUGUGAAAGUCGGGGGCUCAACCCUCGAAUGCCGGUGGAUACUGUCGGGCUAGAGUGCGGAAGAGGCGAGUGGAAUUCCCGGUGUAGCGGUGAAAUGCGCAGAUAUCGGGAAGAACACCCGUGGCGAAGGCGGUUCUCUGGGCAGUAACUGACGCUGAGGAGCGAAAGCGUGGGGAGCGAACAGG